GCAAAACCCUCCAGUAUGGUGUGGGGUAGCUGUGGCAGAGGACACAAAGAGAGACGCUUCAAGACUCACAACCUGUCCUUCCCUGGGCCCAGUGGAUUCUCCUUCAUGACCAUCUUUGGACUCGGAACUCUCCGUCGAAGCUUAUUGCUCUUGCUAUGGCUCAACACUUAUUAGCACUGGACUCCCUCCUUUCAGAGACUUUUCCUGGCCUUGCUACUUCAGUAGCUCCUGAAGCUGGUGGUUUCACCUGUUAGUGCCAGCUACAACAAUAACAGUGAUAGCUAAUACUGAGUGCCUGUUUCCUGUAUGACAGGUACCUCUCUAAGUGCCCUAUAAAUGUUAGCCAAUUUAUUUCUCCCAAUAGCACACUAUUUGUCACCCCCAUUUUACAGAGGAAUAAACUGAGAGGUUUAGCUCUCAGCUAGUAUUGUAGUAAAUUAGGGUUUAAGGCUCAGGUGGGUUGGCUCCAGAUUCUAUGCUCAUAAUUAUUGAACUGUAUUGAACCAAACUACUCCUUCCAUGUGGUGGCCAUCCACAUCAUUAUGAGCACCUGAAACAAACUUAGGUGGCUUCAUUGUCCAAAAACACAUAGUUCAUUGGCCUCAGGGAGACUGACCACAAAUUAAAGUGAGGAUGGUCAGGAUGAUAAAACCACUUUAUAUUGGUGUGUGGUUUUACAGUUGGCAGGCCCCUCCUGUCACAUCCUUCCUCAUAUAGUCUCACUGCCCGCUGCUCUGUGU
rnacentral:lncRNA from 1 species